rnacentral:rRNA from 1 species
CCCUAGUAACGGCGAGUGAAGCGGCAACAGCUCAAAUUUGAAAUCUGGCUUCGGCCCGAGUUGUAAUUUGCAGAGGAAGCUUUAGGCGCGGCACCAUCUGAGUCCCCUGGAACGGGGCGCCAUAGAGGGUGAGAGCCCCGUAUAGUUGGACGCCUAGCCUGUGUAAAGCUCCUUCGACGAGUCGAGUAGUUUGGGAAUGCUGCUCAAAAUGGGAGGUAAAUUUCUUCUAAAGCUAAAUACCGGCCAGAGACCGAUAGCGCACAAGUAGAGUGAUCGAAAGAUGAAAAGCACUUUGAAAAGAGGGUUAAAUAGCACGUGAAAUUGUUGAAAGGGAAGCGCUUGUGACCAGACUUGCGCCGGGCGGAUCAUCCGGUGUUCUCACCGGUGCACUCCGCCCGGCUCAGGCCAGCAUCGGUUCUCGCGGGGGGAUAAAGGCCCUGGGAACGUAGCUCCUCCGGGAGUGUUAUAGCCCAGGGUGUAAUGCCCUCGCGGGGACCGAGGACCGCGCAUCUGCAAGGAUGCUGGCGUAAUGGUCAUCAGCGACCCGUCUUGAAACACGGACCAAGGAGUCAAGGUUUUGCGCGAGUGUUUGGGUGUAAAACCCGCACGCGUAAUGAAAGUGAACGUAGGUGAGAGCUUCGGCGCAUCAUCGACCGAUCCUGAUGUUUUCGGAUGGAUUUGAGUAGGAGCGUUAAGCCUUGGACCCGAAAGAUGGUGAACUAUGCUUGGAUAGGGUGAAGCCAGAGGAAACUCUGGUGGAGGCUCGCAGCGGUUCUGACGUGCAAAUCGAUCGUCAAAUCUGAGCAUGGGGCGAAAGACUAAUCGA